CCUACGGGAGGCAGCAGUGAGGAAUCUUGGACACUGGGCGCGAGCCUGAACCAGCGAAGUCGCGUGAAGGAUGACUGACCUCCGGGUUGUAAACUUUUUUUAUGAAGGAAUCCAGUGAGGCACGUGUGUCUUUUUGUCUGUACUUUAUUAAUCAAGCUCGUCUCAUCCCGUGCCAGCCGCCGCGGUAAUACGGAGGUUCCGAGCGUUAUCAGGAUUUAGUGGGUUUAAAGGGAGCGUAGAUGGGUUGUUAAGUCAGUUGUGAAAGUUUGCGGCUCAACCGUAAAAUUGCAAUUGAUACUGGCAGUCUUGAGUGCAGUUGAGGUAGGCGGAAUUCGUGGUGUAGCGG
rnacentral:rRNA from 1 species